rnacentral:rRNA from 1 species
GGCUCAGGACGAACGCUGGCGGCGUGCUUAACACAUGCAAGUCGAACGGUGAUGAGGAGCUUGCUUCUCUGAUCAGUGGCGAACGGGUGAGUAACACGUGAGCAAUCUGCCCUUGACUCUGGGAUAAGCGUUGGAAACGACGUCUAAUACCGGAUACGACCUUUGGAGGCAUCUCUGGGGGUGGAAAGAAUUUUGGUCAAGGAUGAGCUCGCGGCCUAUCAGCUAGUUGGUGAGGUAAUGGCUCACCAAGGCGACGACGGGUAGCCGGCCUGAGAGGGUGACCGGCCACACUGGGACUGAGACACGGCCCAGACUCCUACGGGAGGCAGCAGUGGGGAAUAUUGCACAAUGGGCGAAAGCCUGAUGCAGCAACGCCGCGUGAGGGACGACGGCCUUCGGGUUGUAAACCUCUUUUAGUAGGGAAGAAGCGAUGUGCUUGCCACAAAGUGACGGUA